GUUCUUAGCAGCGAGACCUGGGUGUAGGGAAAUCCGCACCCGAUGUAGGUUAGCGGCUAGGAGGAGCGUCCGUAAGGAUGCGAAGGUAGUGAUCCCACACUGCCGAGAAAAACCUCGUCAGGGAGACAUAGUUAGUGUCCGUACCCGAAACCGACACAGGUGGACUGGUAGACAAACUACCGAGGCGCGCGAGAGAACCCUCGCUAAGGAACUCGGCAAACUGACCCCGUAACCUCGGGAGAAGGGGUGCCUGCGAUAGGUGAAUCAAGAGAUUGAUGAGCCGAGGCAGGCCGCAGAGGAUAGGUCCUGGCGACUGUUUACCAAAAACACAGGUCUCUGCGAAGGCGGAAGCCGAAGUAUAGGGGCUGAGGCCUGGCCAGUGCUGGAAGGUUAAGGUGAGGGGUUAGCCUAGAGAUGGGCGAAGCUCCGAGCUGAAGCCUCAGUAAACGCCGGCCGUAACUAUAACGGUCCUAAGGUAGCGAAAUUCCUUGUCGGGUAAGUUCCGACCCGCAUGAAAGGUGUGACGACUGGGACGCUGUCUCAGCGAGGGACUCGGUGAAAUUACAAUGGGGGUGAAGAUGCCCUCUACCCGCGGCAGGACGGGAAGACCCCAUGGAGCUUUACUGUAGCCUGAUAUUGGGUUUUGGCAUGUGCUGCGCAGGAUAGGUGGGAGGCUGAGAAGGUACCCUUUCGGGGGUACUGGAGCCGACGGUGAGAUACCACCCUGCACGUGUUGGAACUCUAACAUGGAGCCGUGAAGCCGGCACAUGGACAGUGUCAGGUGGGCAGUUUGACUGGGGCGGUCACCUCCCAAAAGGUAACGGAGGCGUCCAAAGGUACCCUCAGGCGGAAUGGAAACCCGCUGCAGAGUGCAAAGGCAUAAGGGUGCUUGACUGCGAGAGGGACACCUCGAGCAGAGUGGAAACACGGGCUUAGUGACCCGGUGGUGCUGAGUGGAAAGGCCACCGAUCAACGGAUAAAAGUUACCCUGGGGAUAACAGGCUAAUGGGUCCCGAGAGUCCAUAUCGACGGAUCCGUUUGGCACCUCGAUGUCGACCCGUCUCAUCCUGGGGCUGAAGCAGGUCCCAAGGGUUGGGCUGUUCGCCCAUUAAAGAGGCACGCGAGUUGGGUUCAGAGCGUCGUGAGACAGCUCGGUCCUUAUCCGCCGCGGGCGCAGGAGUUCUGAGGGGAGCUCUUCCUAGUACGAGAGGACCGGAAGGGACCAGGCACUGGUGUACCAGUUGUACCGCCAGGUGCAGAGCUGGGUAGCCACCCUGGGAGGAAUAAGCGCUGAAAGCAUCUAAGCGCGAAGUCCAUCCCGAGAUAAGAACUUCCACAGAGAUGAUCUGGUAAGGGCCCGGGAAGACUACCCGG
rnacentral:rRNA from 1 species